rnacentral:rRNA from 1 species
AGCGAACGCUGGCGGCAGGCUUAACACAUGCAAGUCGAACGGUCACUUCGGUGCUAGUGGCAGACGGGUGAGUAACGCGUGGGAACGUGCCUUUCGGUUCGGAAUAAUCCAGGGAAACUUGGACUAAUACCGGAUACGCCCUUCGGGGGAAAGAUUUAUCGCCGAAAGAUCGGCCCGCGUCUGAUUAGCUAGUUGGUGAGGUAAAGGCUCACCAAGGCGACGAUCAGUAGCUGGUCUGAGAGGAUGAUCAGCCACAUUGGGACUGAGACACGGCCCAAACUCCUACGGGAGGCAGCAGUGGGGAAUAUUGGACAAUGGGCGCAAGCCUGAUCCAGCCAUGCCGCGUGAGUGAUGAAGGCCUUAGGGUUGUAAAGCUCUUUUGUCCGGGAAGAUAAUGACUGUACCGGAAGAAUAAGCCCCGGCUAACUUCGUGCCAGCAGCCGCCGCAG